rnacentral:rRNA from 1 species
AGUGGCGACGGGUGAGUACACGUGGGCAAUCUGCCCUUCACUCUGGGACAAGCCCUGGAAACGGGGUCUAAUACCGGAUACGAGUCUGGGAGGCAUCUCCUGGACUGGAAAGCUCCGGCGGUGAAGGAUGAGCCCGCGGCCUAUCAGCUUGUUGGUGGGGUAAUGGCCUACCAAGGCGACGACGGGUAGCCGGCCUGAGAGGGCGACCGGCCACACUGGGACUGAGACACGGCCCAGACUCCUACGGGAGGCAGCAGUGGGGAAUAUUGCACAAUGGGCGAAAGCCUGAUGCAGCGACGCCGCGUGAGGGAUGACGGCCUUCGGGUUGUAAACCUCUUUCAGCAGGGAAGAAGCGAAAGUGACGGUACCUGCAGAAGAAGCGCCGGCUAACUACGUGCCAGCAGCCGCGGUAAUACGUAGGGCGCAAGCGUUGUCCGGAAUUAUUGGGCGUAAAGAGCUCGUAGGCGGCUUGUCACGUCGGGUGUGAAAGCCCGGGGCUUAACCCCGGGUCUGCAUCCGAUACGGGCAGGCUAGAGUGUGGUAGGGGAGAUCGGAAUUCCUGGUGUAGCGGUGAAAUGCGCAGAUAUCAGGAGGAACACCGGUGGCGAAGGCGGAUCUCUGGGCCAUUACUGACGCUGAGGAGCGAAAGCGUGGGGAGCGAACAGGAUUAGAUACCCUGGUAGUCCACGCCGUAAACGUUGGGAACUAGGUGUUGGCGACAUUCCACGUCGUCGGUGCCGCAGCUAACGCAUUAAGUUCCCCGCCUGGGGAGUACGGCCGCAAGGCUAAAACUCAAAGGAAUUGACGGGGGCCCGC